UACGUAGGGUCCGAGCGUUGUCCGGAAUUAUUGGGCGUAAAGGGCUCGUAGGCGGUUCGUCACGUCGGGAGUGAAAACUCGGAGCUUAACUCCGAGCCUGCUUCCGAUACGGGCAGACUAGAGGUAGGCAGGGGAGAGCGGAACUCCUGGUGUAGCGGUGAAAUGCGCAGAUAUCGGGAGGAACACCAGUAGCGAAGGCGGCACUCUGGGCCGGUACUGACGCUGAGGAGCGAAAGCGUGGGGAGCGAACAGG
rnacentral:rRNA from 1 species